rnacentral:rRNA from 1 species
CCUACGGGAGGCAGCAGUGAGGAAUAUUGGUCAAUGGACGAGAGUCUGAACCAGCCAAGUCGCGUGAAGGAUGACUGCCCUAUGGGUUGUAAACUUCUUUUAUAUGGGAGUAAAAUGUUCCACGUGUGGGAUUUCGUAUGUACCAUAUCAAUAAGGAUCGGCUAACCCCGCGCCAGCCGCCGCGGUAAUACGGAGGAUACGAGCGUUAUCCGGAUUUAUUGGGCUUAAAGGGAGCGUAGGUGGGUCGUUAAGUCAGGUGUGAAAGUUUGCGGCCCAACCGUAGAAUUGCAGUUGAAACUGGCAGUCUUGAGUACAGUAGAGGAGGGCGGAAUUCGUGGUGUAGCGGUGAAAUGCUUAGAUAUCACGAAGAACUCCGAUUGCGAAGGCAGCUCACUGGACUGCAACUGACACUGAGGCUCGAAAGUGUGGGUAUCAAACAGGAUUAGAUACCCGAGUAGUC